rnacentral:rRNA from 1 species
UAAUACGAAGGGGGCUAGCGUUGUUCGGAAUUACUGGGCGUAAAGCGCGCGUAGGCGGUUUUGCAAGCCAGAGGUGAAAUGCCUGAGCUCAACUUAGGAAUUGCCUUUGGGACUGCGAGGCUUUGAGGACUGGAGAGGUGAGUGGAAUUCCCAGUGUAGAGGUGAAAUUCGUAGAUAUUGGGAAGAACACCAGUGGCGAAGGCGGCUCACUGGCCAGUUUCUGACGCUGCAGCGCGAAAGCGUGGGGAUCAAACAGGAUUAGAUACCCUGGUAGUCCACGCUGUAAACGAUGAGUGCUAGGCGUCGGCACGCUUGCGUGUCGGUGCCGCAGCUAACGCGUGAAGCACUCCGCCUGGGGAGUACGGUCGCAAGAUUAAAACUUAAAGGAAUUGACGG